rnacentral:rRNA from 1 species
AAUAAGGUAGCAUCGUAGGUUACUGCGCAUAUCAAUAAGCGGAGGAAAGUACCUUACGUUUCCUCGGCGGGUCCGCCCGCCGAUUGGACAAUUUAAACCAUUUGCAGUUGCAAUCAGCGUCUGAAAAAACUUAAUAGUUACAACUUUCAACAACGGAUCUCUUGGUUCUGGCAUCGAUGAAGAACGCAGCGAAAUGCGAUAAGUAGUGUGAAUUGCAGAAUUCAGUGAAUCAUCGAAUCUUUGAACGCACAUUGCGCCCCUUGGUAUUCCAUGGGGCAUGCCUGUUCGAGCGUCAUUUGUACCUUCAAGCUCUGCUUGGUGUUGGGUGUUUGUCUCGCCUCUGCGUGUAGACUCGCCUCAAAACAAUUGGCAGCCGGCGUAUUGAUUUCGGAGCGCAGUACAUCUCGCGCUUUGCACUCAUAACGACGACGUCCAAAAGUACAUUUUUACACUCUUGACCUCGGAUCAGGUAGGGAUACCCGCUGAACUUAAGCAUAUCAAUAAACGGAGGAAAA